GAAUACGUUCCCGGGCCUUGUACACACCGCCCGUCACACCAUGAGAGUUUGUAACACCCGAAGUCGGAGAGGUAACCGCUAAGGAGCAAGCCGCCUAAGGUGGGACGGAUGAUUGGGGUGAAGUCAUAACAAGGUAGCCGUGUCGGAAGGUGCGGCUGGAUUACCUCCUUU
rnacentral:ncRNA from 1 species